AUGCAUAAAGUGAAAAUUCAUUCUUUGUAUUUAAGACCAUUCAGAACAACAACACCAACUCGGCGAGUCCGACUCAGCAUUCCAAGAAAUCCAACUCAAUUAACACUUCUCUCAUCUAUCACUGACAUCAAGAUAGAGAGUGAAAGAAACCAAACCACACUCUCAAAAAGCCUCAUACCCAACGCAACACAACGACGUCGUUGA